rnacentral:misc_RNA from 1 species
GGUGUGGCAACUUUGGUGUUUAUUCGUCUACGAGACCAAGUAGCUGCACUGUGGACUCCAAUGUGGUUGAUUUUGCGUACGAUUCGUCAGCUGGAUUGGUUACUUUUAGCUUGGAUGGCCUUGCCUGAAGAGGGUAAACUUCAUACCGUUGAGGUUGAAUUGUAGAUUAAUAUUUUACUAGGGUUGGUAGAUCAUGAAGGGCUGGAUGUGGGAAGAUGCUAGGCAAUUUGGGGAUUAUUAUGGAAAUAAUUACCAUUUCCCCUCUCAAUUUUCUUCUAUUUUUGGCCUAAAGAGUUCAUGUAACGUAUUAAUCUACAAUUCAACCUCAACGGUA